rnacentral:rRNA from 1 species
AGAGUUUGAUCAUGGCUCAGAACGAACGCUGGCGGCGUGCCUAACACAUGCAAGUCGAACGAGAAAGGGACUUCGGUCCCGAGUAGAGUGGCGCACGGGUGAGUAACACGUGGAUAACCUGCCCUGUGAUCCGGGAUAACAUUCCGAAAGGAGUGCUAAUACCGGAUAAGCCUACGGAGACUUCGGUCUCUGCAGGAAAAGAUUUAUUGUCACAGGAUGGGUCCGCGGUCCAUUAGCUAGUUGGUAGGGUAAUGGCCUACCAAGGCGACGAUGGAUAGCUGGUCUGAGAGGAUGAUCAGCCACACUGGAACUGAGACACGGUCCAGACUCCUACGGGAGGCAGCAGUGGGGAAUUUUGCGCAAUGGGGGAAACCCUGACGCAGCAACGCCGCGUGAAGGAUGAAGGCCUUUGGGUCGUAAACUUCUGUCAGAGGGGAAGAAAUGCCCGUAAGGGAGCUGACGGUACCCUCAAAGGAAGCACCGGCUAACUCCGUGCCAGCAGCCGCGGUAAUACGGAGGGUGCAAGCGUUGUUCGGAAUUAUUGGGCGUAAAGCGCAUGUAGGCGGUUUGUUAAGUCUGGUGUGAAAGCCCGGGGCUCAACCCCGGAAGUGCAUUGGAUACUGGCAAACUUGAGUAUGGGAGAGGAAAGUGGAAUUCCGAGUGUAGGAGUGAAAUCCGUAGAUAUUCGGAGGAACACCAGUGGCGAAGGCGGCUUUCUGGACCAAUACUGACGCUGAGAUGCGAAAGCGUGGGGAGCAAACAGGAUUAGAUACCCUAGUAGUCC